rfam:Salmo salar isolate Sally breed double haploid chromosome ssa04, whole genome shotgun sequence.
UGCAUUCACCACUGUAAGUCGCUCUGGAUAAGAGCGUCUGCUAAAAUGACUAAAA